AUUGAACGCUGGCGGCAUGCUUUACACAUGCAAGUCGGACGGCAGCACAGAGAAGCUUGCUUCUUGGGUGGCGAGUGGCGAACGGGUGAGUAACAUAUCGGAACGUACCGAGCAGUGGGGGAUAACUAAUCGAAAGAUUAGCUAAUACCGCAUAUCUUCUGAGGAAGAAAGCAGGGGACCAUUUGGCCUUGCGCUGUUUGAGCGGCCGAUAUCUGAUUAGCUAGUUGGUGGGGUAAAGGCCUACCAAGGCGACGAUCAGUAGCGGGUCUGAGAGGAUGAUCCGCCACACUGGGACUGAGACACGGCCCAGACUCCUACGGGAGGCAGCAGUGGGGAAUGUUGGACAAUGGGCGCAAGCCUGAUCCAGCCAUGCCGCGUGUCUGAAGAAGGCCUUCGGGUUGUAAAGGACUUUUGUCAGGGAAGAAAAGGGCGGGGUUAAUACCCCUGUCUGAUGACGGUACCUGAAGAAUAAGCACCGGCUAACUACGUG
rnacentral:rRNA from 1 species